UCCCCCUUCCCCCUCGGGGUGGAAACAAAGGGGGUUCGGCGCGCGGUGCGGAGCCUAGGGGAAAAGGGAGGAGCGCUCCGGUGGUCUGGCGCGCUGGGCUCGCUAGAUAUCUCCCGGGGCCAAUUCAGCAUCUCUACCUGGCCAUCCUAACAAGGUGAUUUGUGAAAGGGUGAGACUUCAGAGCCUGUUCCCUCUCCUCCCAAGUGAUCAGAACACUACCGUUCAAGAGGAUGCUCACUUCAAAGCUUUCUUCCAGAGUGAAGAUAGUCCAAGUCCUAAGAGACAGCGCCUCUCUCAUUCAGUCUUUGAUUAUACAUCAGCAUCACCAGCUCCCUCACCACCAAUGCGACCAUGGGAGAUGACAUCAAAUAGGCAGCCCCCUUCAGUUCGACCAAGCCAACAUCACUUCUCAGGGGAACGAUGCAACACACCUGCACGCAACAGAAGAAGUCCUCCUGUCAGGCGCCAGAGAGGAAGAAGGGAUCGUCUGUCUCGACAUAAUUCCAUUAGUCAAGAUGAAAACUAUCACCAUCUCCCUUAUGCACAGCAGCAAGCAAUAGAGGAGCCUCGAGCCUUCCACCCUCCGAAUGUAUCUCCCCGUCUGCUACAUCCUGCUGCUCAUCCACCCCAGCAGAAUGCAGUCAUGGUUGACAUACAUGAUCAGCUCCAUCAAGGAACAGUCCCUGUUUCUUACACAGUAACAACAGUGGCACCACAUGGGAUUCCACUCUGCACAGGCCAGCACAUCCCUGCUUGUAGUACACAGCAGGUCCCAGGAUGCUCUGUGGUUUUCAGUGGACAGCACCUCCCUGUCUGUAGUGUGCCUCCUCCAAUGCUUCAGGCAUGUUCAGUUCAGCACUUACCAGUACCAUAUGCUGCAUUCCCACCCCUUAUUUCUAGUGAUCCAUUUCUUAUACAUCCUCCUCACCUUUCUCCCCACCAUCCUCCUCAUUUGCCACCACCAGG
rnacentral:sRNA from 1 species